rnacentral:rRNA from 1 species
GACGAACGCUGGCGGCGUGCUUAACACAUGCAAGUCGAACGGAAAGGCCCUGCUUUUGUGGGGUGCUCGAGUGGCGAACGGGUGAGUAACACGUGAGUAACCUGCCCUUGACUUUGGGAUAACUUCAGGAAACUGGGGCUAAUACCGGAUAGGAGCUCCGGCUGCAUGGUGGGGGUUGGAUAGUUUCGGCGGUUGGGGAUGAACUCGCGGUUUAUCAGCUUGUUGGUGGGGUAGUGGCUUACCAAGGCUUUGACGGGUGGCCGGCCUGGGAGGGUGACCGGCCACAUUGGGACUGAGAUACGGCCAAGACUCCUACGGGAGGCAGCAGUGGGGAAUAUUGCACAAUGGGCGGAAGCCUGAUGCAGCAACGCCGCGUGCGGGAUGACGGCCUUCGGGUUGUAAACCGCUUUCGCCUGUGACGAAGCGUGAGUGACGGUAAUGGGUAAAGAAGCACCGGCUAACUACGUG